CCAACCUGACUUGCAGAGGCUCAGGUGCUGACCAGGCCUCCGUGUCAGGAAGCACCUGCUGCGGGCUGCUUACAGAAGGAUGAAACAGCUGGCUCUGACCUCCAGAGCUCUUCCAGGCUCUCACCGCCUGGCCCUUUAUAAAUGAGUGAUACGACUCUGGAGAGUCUAUGCUACUACCUCUUUUGAGAGAAGGUACUCCGACCUCCAAGAAAUUCAAGCCAAAAUUUCAAGUUGAGGCUGAUCCUGUGUGGAACUCUCUGCACUUCCUGUACUUGGGUGACUGUCCUCAAGUGAGGGAAGUUUUCAGUUAUUACCAGACUCCCUGAAUUCUUAUCUCUGAUCCUCACCUCAGGAAAACUGCUGUGCUCUGCUUGUGAUCCUCUUCCUGCAUGAAGAUCUGGAAAGCUCCUCCAGGCAGUAACAAGAAACGUGAGGAGGAGAUGUUACAGGAGGAUCACCACAGCCCGAAAAGGAAAGGAAGAUACUUUCUUUCAGACUAACAGGACUUCAGUUCUCUUCAAAGCAGCAAGGAAGCCACUUCAUUUUUUAACCACUUCAAACAUACUUAUAGCUAAGAGUGGCCAGUGACUCAGUUUUGACCAAAGAAAUAUAUGCAGGGGUUUUCAAUCUGACAUGUAAAGAGUUUAGAAAUCAUCACUACCAUCCUUACAACGAGAAAAAUGCUGAAUGAAGUGAAAAUCAACAACUCUCCUUAGAUCCAUCGGAGAACUGAGGUCACAGGGCAAACUACCUUGCCUAAAACUGAAGAGACAAUGCUAUGAGGAGGAACGCUUAAAUUUUAAAGGAUGAAUUGCUGAGGCUCAGUAUGGAUUAGCUUGAAAGUGUAAAAACUCAAGGCUGGCAGCAAGCCUUACGGAAGCCCUAAUAUUCCCUUGAGUGAAGAUUAGAGAAAAAUCUCCUUUUGCUUCCAGCAGUAGGAGGGGAAAAACAAUGAUUCUGAAAUUCCUAGAGCUCUCUGUUCUCCUCAAUAGGGCAUGACCUUUAAGGAAACUAUUUUAUCAGGACCUAACCAGUUCGGGUUUGAUCGAACCCUAAGUGACCUAGAGGGAGGGAAAUGCCCAAAUCUAGACCAUUCUACAUGGGGGAAGGAAAAUACUCAAUUCCAGAUCCCUAUAGCCUUCUCUCUCACUUAUGGGAAUGGUGGCCAAGUUGUUGUUAAGAAAGUCACAUCCCAGAGACACAGACUUAUUAAAUGACAGACCUAAUCAUAGGACUAUAAUGUGCCUUUCUUACCACCAGAUCAGUGAGGCUCCUCUAUGAUAUCGGGGGAAUCCAACUUAAAGAACUGCAAGCCUUGGACCCUAUUUAAGAAAGAGUCUCUAGGGGGACACAAAUCUAAGAGGAAAGACAAAAAUAAGGACAUGAGAGUAACUUCUUGCCUGACACCACAGCUAUAGCAAACAGAAAACAUAGCCUAAAUCCUAGCCAGAUAAACAUAAAACCUAGAGGCCUAUCUCUCUCAGUUUCUGUUACUCAGUACAUCAUAUCUGACUCUCAACAAAAGAUUAUAAGAUCUGCUAAAAAGCAACAAAACAAAACAAACAAUAAAACAGCCUGAAGAGACAAAGCAAGCAUCAGAUCCAGGCUCAGAUACGGCAGAAAUUUUGGUCAGACUGAGAAUUUAAAAUAAUUAUGAUUAAUAUAGUAAGAGCUUUAAUGGAAAAAGUGGACAAGAUGCAAGAACAGAUGGGUAACCUAAGGAGAAAUGGAAACUGUAAGAAUCAAAAGCAAAUGCUAGAAAUCUCAAACAUUGUAGCAUACACUAAGAAUGCCAUCAAUAGACUGGACAUGGUAGAAAAAAUAAUCAGAGAGCUUAACUGUACAUCAAUAGAAGCUGUCCAAACUAAAAAGAAAAAGAAGUCUGAAAAAAAAAACAGCAAUAGAAUAUCCAAGA